ensembl:snoRNA
AGAUCAUUUCAAAGAGAGGUUGUAGGAUCAAAACCAGGAACUCUUAAUGCUGUGACCUAAGAUAGAAGUUCUCUGUAACAGACACUCAAUAGUGCUAUGUUUUCCUGGGGAGAUAUAAGG